UUGCUCCCGGUUCAGUAUUAAUGGCGGCAGGAGGCUCCGCCCACCUGCCCCGAAGUCAUCACUGAUCAUCUGCACAUGCGCAGAAACGUGUCCCGUUGUGAACUGUGCACACUCCCGUUGCAAACCAGUAGUAAAGAUCCUGGUAGAAUAUGACCUCCAUUAAUGACUGCUAUAGAUAGCUGAGGACCGAAGACCCUGAAAUAGCAUAUCCCACUUUGGACCACAGAAGUUUUAGAACAUCGGAAUCCAAACCAAUAAUUCUGAAAAUAGCGUAUGCCAGCCUGAGUGCAACCUUAUGCAAACAAAACUGUCACCGGGAUGAAUUCAAUAAGAGAAUACAGAAUAGUGGAACAUCUGUAGAGAAAAUAGAGCUCAGUGAGGACCAAAUAUGCUAAGUUUUUACAGAAUGCUAAGUAGCAAUGGCUGAGGAGUUGGAAUGGAAAACAGGUACGGCUGGACUUCAGAGUCCUUGGAAAGGACUUCACUGACUGCAUGAUUGGAAUGCUACCCUGAAACAUUACUCACUGAAAUAUUGUUAUGUUAAGUGGUUAAAUCUAGCUUUGCUUUGAGUAACUAUGUAUUUGAUGCAUUAAUAUUGCCCUUUAUUUAUUUAUUUUUCACAUUUUUGAACCACCAGUCUCCUUCCCUUUAAUUGUAUUCCAUUAUGGAAAUUUUAGCUGGAACCAAUGAUAUCCUUCUUUCUUUCUUCUUCUUAAGCUUCCAUCUUUCAGGAAAGAUAAAGUUUUUGUGGUGUACAUUGUGCACACCAUGCAAAUGGCCAUAAAUGCAACCUCAACUUCUCACUGUACUAUGCAGAGCAGUAUUCCAAAAAGAUCAGACAUUAUAUAAUUGUCACUAAGACAAUUCAGGUGCUUCAUCUAACAUUUCCUCAGAAUAUGCCUCUCUGCCAUU